ACCGCCCCCAGCCCCGCCCCGCCCCGCUCCGGCGCCGGCCUGGUGUCGAGCUCUUCCCACGCCCUCUCAGCUGCGGGCGCCUGGAAAACCGGGAGAGCGGAGCUCGAAGCCGCGACAGAACGCCCAGGGCCACCUCAUAGCAACAGCUAGCGGGGGCACCUAGCCGGAAGCCUGGAGGCCUUCCAACCAACCGGAUCACGGUUCUGUAACCCAUGGUACCAUUCUCGGCCAAUGGAGGGCCGCUUCAUACCACGUGAUCCCCGCCCAUCAGCCAAUGGGGAAAGCUCUAGUCGCGGGAUCCACCGACUCGCCUCCCCUUGCGUGGCCCGGCUGGGCGUUUGCCCCUGCGCACGCUCUGCCAACCAAUCGCAGGUCCUCAGAAGUUGAGAAGCUCUGGAUUGCCUCGCAUCUGAUAGAAGUUGUCACAAAAAAAUUAUCCAGCAGGAGGCACAUGACUCAGUUCUCAUCACUGGAAUGGGAAGAGGAAGCCAUUGGGACUGGGGAUUCCUGGGAUUCUGACAAUGAGUAGAUCUCAUUGUUUUGGUGUCACUCCCUCCUGCUCCCCAAAUUGACAUAAGAGAUUGUGGCCACCAUCUUUGGGCUGUGAUGCCUUAUGGCUGAGGUUGCAAACCAGUGAGUUUCAGAUGGCCAAGGAUGGGAAGAAUCCAGGUCCUGGAAAACACCGUGGAACUGUCAUGCCAAUACUGGAAAUGCCUACCUUUGGACUACUAAGUAAACAGCUAGCCUUUGGUUUAAGUCUGUUAGUUUAAGUCUGUUAGGUUUUCUGUGUCUUGGAGUCAAAUACAUCCCAACUAUGAUAGAAAGUGUGAAGUAUUUGAUACAAAGUCGGCGAGCAUUUGUGAUAUUCUGAUGGGUAUCCUACUGAAUAUCCCGAGUGGCAUUUCAAAGACAUUACGGUAUUAAUUGAGCACUUACUACGUAUAUUAUUCUAAGCUCUGGGGAUACAAAAAUAGUUUGCCAAAAGAGCUUGUAGUUAUAGACAUCGUAAAUAGAAGAGACUAACAUUAAACAACUGAUUGCUCAUUUACAUUUUAUAAUAAUCACUUAUUCAAGCUAACAAGAAAAAAUUAGAGAUUUCAAGGAUGAAAUAAUAAUAUAAGUAAUAAAAUACUAUAAAAUAUAUAACCA
rnacentral:lncRNA from 1 species